rnacentral:lncRNA from 1 species
AAUUAGCAGAAAUGAAAGAAAGAAAUGAUAGACCGCGUGGGAUGCAGUUGAUUGGUGGUUUCCAGCAGUUGUUUAUUGCUGCAUGCAGUGCAACGCUAAAUUCUUUAGAUGGCAAAAUAAAAGUAGCUCAAGAUUACUUGUUCUGUAUUUGUCUUUUCUUUUCUGUGUUCUUCUUCCCAUGGUCACUUCUGUCAAUCUUCUUUAUUU